GACGAACGCUGGCGGCGUGCUUAACACAUGCAAGUCGAACGGCAAGGCCCUGCUUUUGUGGGGUGCUCGAGUGGCGAACGGGUGAGUAACACGUGAGUAACCUGCCCUUGACUUUGGGAUAACUUCAGGAAACUGGGGCUAAUACCGGAUAGGAGCUCCUGCUGCAUGGUGGGGGUUGGAAAGUUUCGGCGGUUGGGGAUGGACUCGCGGCUUAUCAGCUUGUUGGUGGGGUAGUGGCUUACCAAGGCUUUGACGGGUAGCCGGCCUGAGAGGGUGACCGGCCACAUUGGGACUGAGAUACGGCCCAGACUCCUACGGGAGGCAGCAGUGGGGAAUAUUGCACAAUGGGCGGAAGCCUGAUGCAGCAACGCCGCGUGCGGGAUAACGGCCUUCGGGUUGUAAACCGCUUUCGCCUGUGACGAAGCGUGAGUGACGGUAAUGGGUAAAGAAGCACCGGCUAACUACGUG
rnacentral:rRNA from 1 species